GUGAAUACUUUAGACCCCUGGCCAAAUGACCCAUAUGAUGUUUUAUUGACCCAUUUAGUGCACCCUCUACAAGUCUUACCUUUGACUAUUUAAACACAGAUUAUGAUCCGAAUUUAUCAGAUACUAAUUAUGAACCAGCUGAUGCUUUAAUUGAGGAAAUCUUGGAAGCUCAAUACAACCCAUCCCAAGUCGCAAGUGCUGCCGAGGAGAUUUUAAACAAUCUAGGUUUGGAUGUAACAGCUCAAAAUACAGAAUACCUGAUGACCCCUGAAGAAGAGGCUGACUACACAGAGGCUCUUGAACAUGAUACGUUUCCCUCCGAAUCUUGCAUUUCUCAAUUAAACAAUAAUCCCUCUAUUCCUAAUAUACACGCAGUUAUGGUUCAAGUCCAUCAACCCCAAGAAGGUUGUGCAUGUAGGUUUACUUUUAUUUUUGUAAUUAUUUUUAAAACUUAUAAAUGUAAAAGUUAUAACUUUUAUAUAGUCGGCUAGCGAUAAUGAUGAAAUACAAAAAGCCUUUACCAAAUAUAUUCAUCAUAGAAAUCUAUGUAUAAUGUAUCUGGUUCAAGAUCUGUUUUUUCAAGGAAAAAUGAGUCGCACUAUAAACUUAAAUGCUAACUACAUUAUUCUUUUUAAAAAUCCCAGAGACAAACUUCAAAUUAACACAUUAGCCCGACAGAUGUAUCCUAGAAAUACAAAGUUUUUUUAGAAGCUUUUGAAGAUGCAACAAAAGUCCCUUAUGGAUAUAUCUUGGUAGACCUAAAAGAACAAACCCUGAAGAUUAUCGCCUACGGUCAGCUUUGUUUCAUCCUGAUUGGCCAGUUGCUUAUAUAAUGAAUAACCCCAAGACUAAACGUUUAUAACUAAUGUUGUUUCUCUUUGAGAUUUAUAAUUUCAUGGGUCGUUUGUAUCAUUAAAAGACAUGUCUGUCAAAAUAAAUACACAGUAUGCUUAGAGUUCUUGAAUAAAAACUGAAAUAGUUUUAGGGAAAUAAGCAAAGUCAUAAAACUCUCCAGUUCUAUCUUCUUUUAAAUAUAUAGCCAGCCAAUGUUUGCCAGGUUGAUUUUGAGGGUCUGUGUUGACAAUAAGCAUUGCAGGUUUUUUUUUUUUUUUUUUUUUCCUUUAGGGAGUUGGUCACUAGCUAAAACUCUGUAAACUUCCCAGUAAAAGGAUUGUUAGCCAUUAGGGAUGCCAGUUGUAAGGUAUUAAUUUUAAAUCCUCAAAAGGUGUUUUCAGCAUGCUUCUCAGUAAUCAAAGAGCACUGCUCUUUGUUGUGAUACCUCUAUAACAUUCUCAAACACUGCAUAUACUAGCAAAUUCAUUG